rnacentral:tRNA from 1 species
GGUCUCAUCGUCUAGCGGUUAGGACGCUGCCCUCUCACGGCGGAAACGCGGGUUCGAUCCCCGCUGGGACUACCA